GGGAAGCAAGGUCCACCGCUGAUGCCGCUGCUGCCGUCGGGGCCUUGGCUCCUCCGUCCUGGGCCCCGCUCCCGUAGUCGGCCCCUGGGUAGCCCUGGUAGCCCCGGGCGGAGCUGGGCGAGCUGCAUGCUGGUAGUUUUACACUGCUGGAAACUGCAAUGGAGUCAGUUCUGAUUAAAGUUGGCAUCCCUUGCCUGUGAACUGCAAAACAUGAACUAGAGCUGCACAGAGAAAGACGGAAGAGGAGCCUGCGGCAGCAGGGCACAUUCAGUUCCUGUAAUAUAAUUCUCGACCUGCAGGGGCUCAGAAGGGGAAUGCAAACUGAAAGGAGCUUGGAAAGUAAGAGAACAGCCACUGUGCCAAGAGUGCGAGACCUUCUUCUUCUUCUUCUUUGAAUGUGCUGGUUUUCUGACCUCUACAUAGUUCUGAUGUUUUAAUUUAGCAUACUAAUAAUAUCAAUGAACAAGUGUGUGUGUGGUUGUUCAGUAACUAGAUCUAGAAUGAAGGAGAAUGGGGAGAAGGGGCAAGUCUGACAUUUCACAGUAUGGGAAACUCGAGCAGAAUAGAAAACAUGGAACCAAGAUCAGACCUGAGAGAUAUUCUGAAUGAUAAAAGUACAUCUAGGCUGAAUGAAUUAAAGAUAAUUUUUCCUUUAUUACCAGUGUCUACACACACACACACACACACACACAUGCAUUGUCCCUAGAUAUCAUCUUUUUCCUAAUGCUGACGGUACUUUAAUAGACGAGAAGAUUUAUGUACUAGAACGCUGGCUGAAGGUUUAUGAAACCAUUGCCCAGAUCAGGAAUUCCACUACUGUAUUUCAUUUUGAGAACUCUCAUUAAGAGUUUAGAAUGGCCUCUUAGCUUCUUUGAGAUAGGUUUCAGCCAACAUUAAUUAACAUCCAUUUAUCAUCAGAUAGAAAAUGUUUUCUAAAGCUUGGCCUUCAAGUUUAGACUUAUUUAAAGCUGUCC